CCUUCGGGCUGAGUAAAGCGGCGGACGGGUGAGUAACGCGUAGGAAUCUACCUGGUAGUGGGGGACAACUUGGGGAAACUCAAGCUAAUACCGCAUACGCCCUAAGGGGGAAAGCGGGGGACCUUCGGGCCUCGCGCUAUCGGAUGAGCCUGCGUAGGAUUAGCUAGUUGGUGGGGUAAAGGCCCACCAAGGCGACGAUCCUUAGCUGGUCUGAGAGGAUGAUCAGCCACACUGGAACUGAGACACGGUCCAGACUCCUACGGGAGGCAGCAGUGGGGAAUAUUGCGCAAUGGGCGAAAGCCUGACGCAGCCAUGCCGCGUGUGUGAAGAAGGCCUUAGGGUUGUAAAGCACUUUCAAUUGGGAAGAAAAGUUUGUCGUUAAUAGCGCCAAGCUCUGACAUUACCUUUAGAAGAAGCACCGGCUAACUCCGUGCCAGCAGCCGCGGUAAUACGGAGGGUGCGAGCGUUAAUCGGAAUUACUGGGCGUAAAGCGCGCGUAGGCGGUUUGUU
rnacentral:rRNA from 1 species